rnacentral:rRNA from 1 species
AGAGUUUGAUUAUGGCUCAGAUUGAACGCUGGCGGCAUGCCUUACACAUGCAAGUCGAACGGCAGCGGACCUUCGGGUGCCGGCGAGUGGCGAACGGGUGAGUAAAGUAUCGGAACGUACCCUAGAGUGGGGGAUAACUCUCCGAAAGGAGGGCUAAUACCGCAUAUUCUAUGCGUAGGAAAGCAGGGGACCUUCGGGCCUUGUGCUCUAGGAGCGGCCGAUAUCAGAUUAGGUAGUUGGUGGGGUAAAGGCCUACCAAGCCGACGAUCUGUAGCGGGUCUGAGAGGAUGAUCCGCCACACUGGAACUGAGACACGGUCCAGACUCCUACGGGAGGCAGCAGUGGGGAAUUUUGGACAAUGGGCGCAAGCCUGAUCCAGCCAUGCCGCGUGAGUGAAGAAGGCCUUCGGGUUGUAAAGCUCUUUCGGCCGGGAAGAAAUCGCGUGGGCUAAUAUCCUGCGUGGAUGACGGUACCGGAAUAAGAAGCACCGGCUAACUACGUGCCAGCAGCCGCGGUAAUACGUAGGGUGCGAGCGUUAAUCGGAAUUACUGGGCGUAAAGCGUGCGCAGGCGGUUUUUUAAGAUAGGCGUGAAAUCCCCGGGCUCAACCUGGGAACUGCGCUUAUGACUGGAAGACUCGAGUAUGGCAGAGGGGGGUGGAAUUCCACGUGUAGCAGUGAAAUGCGUAGAGAUGUGGAGGAACACCGAUGGCGAAGGCAGCCCCCUGGGCCAAUACUGACGCUCAUGCACGAAAGCGUGGGGAGCAAACAGGAUUAGAUACCCUGGUAGUC